rnacentral:tRNA from 1 species
GCCCCAGUAGCUUAACCCAACAAAGCCCUGGCCUUGUAAACCAAAGACGGGUAAACCACACCCCUGGGACA